rnacentral:lncRNA from 1 species
CACUGAUCGAUCCCCAUAAAAGCUGCACAAGAGGGCAUGAAAUUUCAUUAAAAGAAAAUCAGGAAAUAACAAAUCACACCAUAAAAUUUCAAAAAAGAAAAAGAAAAAAAAAAAGGGAUCAAGGAGUGACUUACCGAGAAACCAAAAAUCGCUGAUUGCAAGUUCAAGUAAAAUUAAUUUCACUGUGUGUACACUUGAAAAUAUGUGUAUUCGAAAAAUGGAAUGGAAAUAUCGAAGAAUUAUGUGCAACUUCGAGAGAGAGAGGUUGCCUCAUCGAGACUGAUGAGUGAGCAAAAUGACGCUCUUUUCUAUUUAUCAUUUUUCUUAGUCGUGGUGGUCUGAUGGGAUUCCAAGUGACAAAUCUUUU